CUUCUCCUUCUCCUCCAGCCCCUAAUGGUUUCUCCUUGCCCUGAACUCCUCUAAUACAAUGCUUUGUUUCUUCUUUUACUCAUCUAAACCCUGGUGUUGACAGCCCUGUUAUCUCCAGCCCAGGGAAGGAGAAAGCAGGGAAAAAUGGAGAAAACAACUGAGACGGGAAAAAGGUUGAAUGCUGAUGAUGCCUUCCAGUCACCCUCGAGUCAAGUGACAUGCCAUUCUCCUUGCUCAGUCAGUGGCUGUAUUUCAACCCCUUCUAUAAAGAGGAAAGCACUACAAACUACAUGCUAAACCAGGCAAGACAGCUUUCCAUGUUACAACUGGAGACUGAACCAGCAUCAACUCAUGCAACUGAUGUGAAAAGUGUCAGGCACUUGUUACAAAAGGCAUUUGUCAAAAAAUAAAUAAAUAAAAUAAAACAAAACUACUCACACUUACCAGUUUCCAUGGAGUACAACUGGGGUUGAUAGAGGCGUAACUCUGAAGGUUAUAUAUUACUCAGGGUCCAUUCAGGAUUCAGAAACCACACUAAUUGAAUAAAGAAAAUAUUCAACUAACUGAAUAUUGACUACAAAGUAUUCUUAACUAGAUGUAAAGUUAUUAACUAGGUAACUGAAGGAGUCAAAAGUAA